AACGCGAAGAACCUUACCAAGACUUGACAUCUAGAGAACCUUUAUGAAAGUAGAGGGUGCUCUUCGGAGAACUCUAAGACAGGUGGUGCACGGUUGUCGUCAGCUCGUGUCGUGAGAUGUUGGGUUAAGUCCCGCAACGAGCGCAACCCUUGUCUUUAGUAGCCAGCAUUUCGGAUGGGCACUCUAGAGAGACUGCCAGGGAUAACCUGGAGGAAGGUGGGGAUGACGUCAAAUCAUCAUGCCCCUUAUGACCAGGGCUACACACGUGCUACAAUGGCGUAAACAAAGGGAAGCGAACCCGUGAGGGCGAGCAAAUCCCAAAAAUAACGUCUCAGUUCGGAUUGUAGUCUGCAACUCGACUACAUGAAGCUGGAAUCGCUAGUAAUCGCGAAUCAGAAUGUCGCGGUGAAUACGUUCCCGGGUCUUGUACACACCG
rnacentral:rRNA from 1 species